rnacentral:rRNA from 1 species
AGUGAACGCUGGCGGUAGGCCUAACACAUGCAAGUCGAACGGCAGCACAGUAAGAGCUUGCUCUUACGGGUGGCGAGUGGCGGACGGGUGAGGAAUACAUCGGAAUCUACUUUUUCGUGGGGGAUAACGUAGGGAAACUUACGCUAAUACCGCAUACGACCUACGGGUGAAAGCAGGGGAUCUUCGGACCUUGCGCGAUUGAAUGAGCCGAUGUCGGAUUAGCUAGUUGGCGGGGUAAAGGCCCACCAAGGCGACGAUCCGUAGCUGGUCUGAGAGGAUGAUCAGCCACACUGGAACUGAGACACGGUCCAGACUCCUACGGGAGGCAGCAGUGGGGAAUAUUGGACAAUGGGCGCAAGCCUGAUCAAGCCAUACCGCGUGGGUGAAGAAGGCCUUCGGGUUGUAAGGCCCUUUUGUUGGGAAAGAAAAGCAGCAGGUUAAUACCCCGCUGUUCUGACGGUACCCAAAGAAUAAGCACCGGCUAACUUCGUG